rnacentral:misc_RNA from 1 species
UGAGUGGCGGUGGUCUGGUCCGGGUGAGGUCUUCACGCGCAUCCUUCCUCGACAAAUAUGGCCACCGUCACGUGACGGGCCACCAUGCGGAAGGUGCUGUCCCGGCUGGCCAAGGUGGGCCGCAGCUCCGACCAGGCGGGCCCGCCGCCGGCGACGCCACCGGCCGACCCGGCCAGCGCAGACCCAG